rnacentral:rRNA from 1 species
GGCCACAGCCAUAUCCCUCUGCAGCCCAAGACUGGUUACUCACUGAAGCCAAGCAGGGCUAAGCCUGGUCAGUACUUGAAUGGGAGACCAACAUGGAAAAACUAGAUUGAUGUUGGAA